GCUGGCAUUGGCGGCGCGUGCCUGUAAUCCCAGCUACUCAGCAGGCUGAGGUGAGAGGAUCGCUUGAGCCCAGGAGUUCUGGGCUACAGAACACUAUGACGAUCGGGUGUCCGCACUAAAUUAGGCAUCCAUAUGGUGACCCUUCGGGAGCGGGGACCACCAGCUUGCCUAAGGAGGGGUGAACAUGACCAGGUUGGAAACGGAGGAGGUCCAAAACUCCCGACGCUGCAUCAGUAGUGAGCGAUCGCACUGUGUAAUAGCCACUGCACUCCAGCCUGGGCAACAAAGCAAGAUGUCCUCUCU
rnacentral:SRP_RNA from 1 species